UACGUAAGGGACAAGCGUUGUCCGGAAUUAUUGGGCGUAAAGAGCUCGUAGGCGGUCUGUUGCGUCGGCUGUGAAAACCCGAGGCUCAACCUCGGGCCUGCAGCCGAUACGGGCAGACUAGAGUUCGGCAGGGGAGACUGGAAUUCCUGGUGUAGCGGUGAAAUGCGCAGAUAUCAGGAGGAACACCGGUGGCGAAGGCGGGUCUCUGGGCCGAUACUGACGCUGAGGAGCGAAAGCGUGGGGAGCGAACAGG
rnacentral:rRNA from 1 species